rnacentral:rRNA from 1 species
GAUGAACGCUGGCGGCGUGCCUAAUACAUGCAAGUCGAGCGGCAGCGCGGGGUGCUUGCACCCUGUCCGCUAGCGGCGGACGGCUGAGUAACGCGUGGGAACGCUCCCUAAAGUGAGGAAUAACUGCCCGAAAGGCUAGCUAAUACCGCAUAUUAUCUUCGGAUCACAUGAUUUAUCCGCUUUGGGCGCGGCUCGCGUCGGUUUAGGUAGUUGGUGAGGUAAUGUCUCACCAAGCGGACGAUCCGUAGAUGGUCGGCGAGGAUGCCUAGCCAGACUGGAACUAGGACACGGUCGGGACUCCUACGGGAGGGAGCAGUGCGGAAUCUACCAACAUGGGCGAAAGGCUGAUGGAGCUACGCCGCGUACAGGACGAAAGUAGUCGGGUUGUAAACUGCUUUUAUAUGUGCGGAAUAUGACGGUAACUAAUGAAAAAGGAACGGCUAACUACGUG